rnacentral:rRNA from 1 species
UGGAAUUCUGUGAGUGGUGCGGUGGUAAUGUGUAGGGUGCGGGGGUGGUGAGGAAUGAUUGGGCGGAACGGGUGUGGAGGCGGUUUGUCGGGUGUGCGGUGAAAUUCCGGGGCUCAACCCCGGGCUGGCAGGGGGUACGGGUAGACUAGAGUAUGGUAGGGGAGACUGGAAUUCCUGGUGUAGCGGUGAAAUGCGCAGAUAUCAGGAGGAACACCGAUGGCGAAGGCAGGUCUCUGGGCCACUACUGACGCCGAGAAGCGAAAGCAUGGGGAGCGAACAGGAUUAGAUACCCCGGUAGUC